rnacentral:lncRNA from 1 species
CACGACGCCUCGUCUUGGCUGAUCGCCCUACCUCAAGAGCCCGAAGUUGAUCACACCCGCAAAGCCCUCUUUGCCAGCAGGUACUGUAUUGCAGGUUCUGGGGAUUUGGAGGUGGGCAUCUCUGGGGAAGGGGCGGACAGAGGCAUCAGGGAGGUGGGAGUGGCCCUCAGGCCGAGGCCUGGAGCCUGAGGAGGACUCAUCACGCAAAGUGGAAAGGGAAGGGCAGUUCGCACAAAGGGAGCGGCCCUUGCGGAGGCCGGGUGGCAGGACAGGGCUGGGUCAGGAUGAGGGACUAUUUGAAGCUUGCCGGUCAGGAGGCGGGAGAGGAGGCAAGAGAGGCCGAGACGAGGCCACAGGGGAAAGCAGGGCCCAGACCCUUCGGGCCUGAGGGAUUUGGUUCCGGGUCGCUUCCUUAACAUCAGUGGACGGACGCAGCGGGGGGAUGACUCACUGACUCGCGUCCUGCCGCGUCGUGUGGGAAAGAUGCCGGGAGGGCGUUCUGACCUCGGCCUGCGUGAUGGACGGAAUAACGGCUCCUCCGGUGACGUCGGUGCCUUAAUUCCUGAACCCUGUGAACACGUUGUGCCCACGGCCAGAGGGAAGUAGGUCGCUAAUCAGCUGACCUUAAAGUGGGGAGAGUCGCCCGGAUUAUCAGGCGGGCCCGAUUUAAUCACGAGGGGCUUGAAAGGCGGAAGAGGGACACGGGAGAGUCAAAGUCACGGGGACACGGUGGCACAGAGCCCUCGGCCAGACGCUGCUGACUUUGAAGAUGGGAGGGGGCCACGGGCCGGGCAAUGCCAGGAGACAGACCCUCCACUUGUGCCUCUGGACAGGGGCAUAAGCCUUGUGAUCUUGAUUCGGAGAGACCCGUUUUGGACUUCUGAACUCCAGAACUAGAAGAUAGUGAAUUUCUGUUGUUUUCAGCUACGAAAUCGGGGUCAUCCGUACAGCGGCAAAGGGAAGCUAAUGCGUCCGGGAGGCUCUGGGACGCCACUGAGAAUUGAAGUGGGGGCGUGGGCGGUGGCCAAGGCAGGGGUGGCCAUUGUUCUUUCAGAGACCUUGAUCCUGGAAGUUUGGAAGCUGAACAUGUGCUUUGAAAAGGGUCCCCUCUGCCAACAGUGCUGACGGGAACCGGGACCCUGAGGAAGUGAGAGAAAGAGGGUGAACAAUGUGUGAUGCAGAGAACGAAGGAGAGGACGGUCCUGCCGCCUCCUGGGGGGUGGGGACGAGAGGCAGGAAGUGAGGGGACAAAGGUACACACGUCUGCCCAGGGCUCCAAGGCCGUGAGCUCACGGGGCCUUCAACCCCAUUUUAGAAAAAGGAAUUGGAGGGGGCGCCUGGGGGGCUCAGUCGGUCGAGCGUCCGACUUCGGCUCAGGUCACGAUCUCACGGUUGGUGGGUUCGAGCCCCGUGUCGGGCUCUGUGCUGACGGCUCGGAGCCUGGAGCCUGCUUGGGAUUCUGUGUCUCCCUCUCUCUCUGCCCCUCCCCUGCUGGUGUUCUCUGUUUACCAAAAAUAAAUAAGCAUUAAAAAAAAAAUUUAAAGACGCAAACCGAGCCAUGCUGAGGACUUCAGUCCCACACGUGGCAUCAGAAUGUUCGUGUUCAUGUGGCAGACACGAGCAAGGGGGUGGCCCACAGCCCCUGGCGUCACUGUCUCGCAUCUGCCUGGCCCAAGGUCACAGCCUACACUUGGCACUCGAGCCAGCCAAGGGUACAAGAGCCUAGCCGUGGGGGCCAAAUGUGGACACUGCCAGCCCAUCCUUGCCCUUCGCAGGACAAGAACACGUCUCCGGACAGUGAGGACAGUCCUUGCCGAGAAGAAAGCUGUGGUUGGGGCUGAGGGGACUCAGCUUUGCAUUCUAGGUAGGGCUUUCUCCCUGCUGCCUUUGUUUUUAGCACAGAAAACACAGCGAGGCAGGAGACCCCUCAUCUUUCACGGCGUGUUUUGGCUUUUGUUUUCUCUCUUCUGAAGGUGACGUGUGGGCGCCUGUGCGCGUGUGUCUUGAUAAGAGACAGGAAGCCGAGCUCUUGGGCCUGGUGACCGUGGAUUCCUGGGGAAGCGCCACCGGCCUGCCUGGCUGAGCCACGCUCGGGCCUGCCUUCGGCCUCUGCCCGCGGUCCGUCUUCUCUUCCGGAUCCUCCAGCCCCCCCCCCCCCCCCCCCCCCCCCCGCCGCUGCCCGCAGGUCACAUAAUGAAUCCAGAGCUGGGCAGGGGGCAUCGCGUGAUCACGUGGUUCAUGGUUCACGAGGGAAAAGGACAUUGUCCCCUCAAAGGGCAGAGAGCCACUCAUCCCCGCCCAUCAGACCUCCCUCCUGGCGCCUGCCUCGGCCCUCUGGCGAGGAAGAGGACCCGCUAGCCACACCGCAGCUUGUGAGAACAGAAGGGCGCGGGGGGAUCAGGCAGCCCCAGAAAGCUAUAGUGGGGAUGUGGAUCCCAGCCCAGAUCACUUUUCUCCGUCGAUCCCUGAACACCUUAGCAGAAAUCCCACCCCGAGAGCUGCAGGGAUUUAGGGUUCCUGCUCCACACGUAAGGAGCUUGGAAGUUGCCGUCUCAUCCCAACAAGUGACAAGCUACGGAGACUGAGACCCACGAAUCUUUUGGGACCCAUAAAAGGGAGGAGGACUCAGGGCAAAUCACUGCCCCUGAGACUGGGGAGGCGGGUGCGUAUGGUGGUCUUGGCUUCCCUGAGAAGGGACGAGGAAGCAUGGUGGGGGCCAGCGCGUGGGUGGGAUAAGCCUCCACUUCCGCUAUAACCGGCCAGUUGCUGGAGCUCAGGGGACCCAACUCAGGUUUAACUCCAGGGGGACCCCACCAAGGGGGGUCCCCACAGUAUCGUGGCGAUGCUUGCCUCCCUCCGUGGCUCCACUGGUUUCCCACCACAAAUAUCUGGGAAGAAAAUCCGGCUCCUGGCACAGGGAGGGAUAAGGGACCAUUUCUCAAUGUGCCGAGCACUCUGCUUUUCUCAACAAGACCGGUUUUCAGGGGAAGCUGGUGAACCAGAGCCUAAGUGACUUGGGGGAAGGUAAAUCCCCAACACCGGCCCACUCCAGCCAUCCGUUCCGCCUAAGUUGGGAGGGGGUGCGAAAACUGAGAAACUCUUGUGAAGUUCACUGGCUCACGGGGAGACCGAGCCGCCCCCAGGAAGACGGGGGCUCCCCCCUCCCCCCACCUCGCCGGCACACCACCAAAGGCCCAUUCACACUUCCUCUCAUCCAGUACCUCAUUUCUGGCUUGAAGAAAAAAAGCACAAGGUGCAGCAAGGGACAGAAGCACGAUUUGCGGAGUAGAGCAAGCAGUAACACCGGACGCGACGGGGAUAUUGGCGUUAUUAGGCCAGGAAUUUAAAACAGUUGGAAUUCACAUGCGAGGGCUCCAGAGAAUAAAGUAGGCAGCACGCAAGAGCGGGUAGACGAUGGAAGCGGGGAGGGAAAUCCCAACAAGGAGCAACAACAACAGCAGCAACGGCAACACAGAAAACGAAAAACGCAAAACAACGGAGAUCAAACACGGACAGAAGCAGAGAAAGCUUUGGUGGGCUUCUGAGUAGACUGGGCACAGCUAAGGAAAGAAGCUUGGGGCUGGAGGACACAUCCAUAGAUUCCUUGAAAACCGAAAAGCAAGGAGAACACGGACUAGAAGAAGAACAGAGUACGCGAGGAGCUUGGGACUGUGUAACACGUGUGUAAUGGGAAGAAAAUGAAAACUCUUAUGUUUCUUAUUUUUCAUUGAUCUGACAGAUACAUUUGCUCCAAACAAUACCAACAGGGUGUCUGACGAUGUACAUGUCUGCUUGUAUACAGGUGAAGUGAAUGCUGGGCAGUGAGAGAAGGGGUGAGGAGUGCGCCAUGAUGUCCCCACGGCACUUGUGCAGUGGUAUAGUAUUGUUUGACAGUGGACUGGGAUCAGUGGCAAGUGCAUAUUGCAAACUCUAGGGCGACAAGUAAAAAAAGGUGAGAAAGCAAGUGUAGCUGGCAUGCUAACAAAGAAGGGGAAAUGGAAUAAUAAAAAACCACAAAAGGCCAAAAAAGAGCGGAAGGCAGAAAUAGGAAUAAAGGACAAGGGCAACAAAUAGAAAACAGUAGCGAGUAUGAUGGAUAUGAAUCCAACUGUAUAAAAAAUCACCUGGAACGUCAAUGUCUAAAUGUCCCGAUUAGGGGCUCCUGGGUGGCUCAGUCGCUUAAGCGUCUGACUUCGGCUCAGGUCGUGAUCUCACGGUUCCUGGAUUCCAGCCCCGUGUCGGGCUCUGUGCUGACUCAGAGCCUGGAGCCUGCUUCGGAUUUUGUCCCCCUCGUUCUCUGCCCCUCCCUCACUUGUGCUCUGUCUCUCUCUCUCUCUCUCUCUCUCUCAAAAAUAAACAUUAAAAAACAAUUAAGUGCCCCAAUUAAAAGACAGGGACGGUCAGACCAGACCCAACUGUAUGUCGCCUACAAGAAGCCCACUUUAGAUAUAAAGAUACAUAUCGGUUAAGAGCAAAUGGGUGGAGGAAAAUGCGCCAUGCUAACCCAUAUCGAGAGAGCAGGAGUAGUUACGCAUUAGCUCAGAGCAGAUUCCAAGUGAGGAAAGUUACUGGGGAUAAAGAAGGGCCUUACAUAAUGAUAAAGGGGUCAGUUUUCCAAGAAGACACGCUAAUCCUUAAUGUGCUCCUGCGUAAGAACAGAGCAUCCAACUAUGCGAGGCGAAGACUAAUUGAACUUCAAGCGAAUGUGGACGGCUGUAAAAAAAAUGCAGUCAGGCAACUCCCUUCUGCAGGCCUUUUUGAGGAGAUGCAGAACGUAGCCGGAAGGGAGAGAGCCGGCCCAGCUGGUUGUCUCCCGGUUACCCCACUGUCAUCACCUCUGCACAUAUAUACAGUGACGUGUCCGUGAGUGGCUACAGGCUCUGAUCUGUAACCUUGGCUGAUUUCUGUACCGCAGACAUCCCGCCCCCCCCCGCCCCCCAAGCUGAUCCCCAGUUACCAAAGCGCCGUUACUGAACAGAGUCGGCGGGAGGCGGCCAGCCGCUCACCGGCUGACGGUCUUUCCACCGUCUACACAGCAAUCCACAGAAGUAACCCCAAGAGCACAGAGAAAUGGUAAAAUGUGGUGAGAUAGUGGGAGGUGGCAGAUUUGAGUCUCCUCUUUGCUCUUCACGUAAUUUCAGUGUCAACGUACACACCUUAAUUUUGCGGUGGUCGUGAUUACCGACCAGCUCGCAAAACUCCCGAUAAUUCUCACGUCUCCCGUCCUGAUUCUCACGGGAGGCGACUCCAGCACGUGCCACACGUACUGCCAUUUAGCAGCUCGAAGUCACUUCUCAGCCACCACCCAAGUGCCCCUGGGGUUGAGUCUGGGGGCUCAGGUCCAGUAAGAGGUGACGCGGUGCAGCUCCCCGUCCUGCAACCCCAGCCAUCGUUCUCUCGCGCGUCGGCUCUGCAGGUGACGUCAGAGGAGCAUCGCUUCUUGGGGGGAAUGAGCACAGGCCGCGGGGGGCCCGACGUGGCGGCAUUUGUCAGGGUUUCGGGUUUGGGGGAGUUAAUCACUCUGAGCCUCAGACGCGUCUUCUCUGACGUGGGGUAAUGUCGGUUACUCCACAGGGUCACCACGGCUCUCAGAAGAGGGGCCACCAACCGUGACCCAAUAUCCGUUCUCCCCCUUGUACGGAGUAGUAGAAUUUUCAGCUGGACACAUACCUGUCUGGAUGAAACACUACCACUUUCCGGCCUCUGCUGCAGCUAAAUACCUUCUGGUGAACGGGAUAAAAGACAAGUCGCGUGGAAGAUAUCCAGGCCGUCAGUCCCGAGGGGAAGGAACACGGCUCCCGCUGCCAUGUGCCCUCCUCUUGCUGCUUGCGAGGCCGGCGGGGUGGAGGGAAAGGAAGCAGCCGCGCACACCGUGACGGGGACAGCCCAUGGGGUGGCGGCGUGGUACCCGGGGGGAAGAGGACUCGGCCGGCUGCCCGGAGUCCCCGGGCCAGCCCUGGGCCACCACCAGCCUUUUGUGAGCGACGGAAAGGGUGUUCAAGCCUCUAUUAUUUUGAGUAGUCUUGAAAAGUUUUUUUAUUGUGGUAAAAUACGUAUAACGUAACACUUACCGUCUCAAGCAUUCUCAAGUGCGUACGUCAGCGGCACUAAGCACGUUCCAUUGUGGUGCAACUAUCACCGCUAUCGAUUUCCAGAACUUUGCAUCCUCCCAAACGGAAACUCCGUACCCGUUAAACACCAGCUCCUUGUUCCCUCCCGCCACACAGCCCCUGAGCACCACUGUGUUACUUUCCGUCUCUACGAAUUUGACGAUUCCAGAGGCUUCAUACAAGCGGAACCGUACGAUGGUUGUCCUUUUGUGUCUGGCUCAUUUCAUUUAGCACAGUUUUCAGCCUCAUCCGUGUGGCAGCAUGUAUCAGACCUCAUUCCUUCCGGAGGGUGAAUGGUGUUCCAUUGCGGCUCUAGACCACACUGUAUUCACCCAUCCGUCUGUUGAUGGACACUCGGGUUGUUCCCACUUCUUCGUUACUGUGAAUAAUGCUGCUAUGAACACGGGUGCACAGGUUAUUCUGGGUCUUUGGUUAAAGCAGUGGAACCCAAAUACCAACUAAUACCGGUCUUAACAAGUGCACACAAAACGUUGUCACGGUGACCGGAUGUAUGUCCUCUCCCCGUUCGUUCUCUUUCGGGAGAGCAGGUCACACGGUGCAGAGCUGGCUCCUAUCAGCUCAUGGGAGCCAAUGGGGAAAUACUCAGUAACUCUGCGAGCUGGCUGUGAGAGUCUGGUGAAGGUCAGCCACAGCGGGGGCGUUUACGCCGCGGUGAUUGGCAAACAGUUCGAAUCAGGGCUUUUGGGUUUCUGAGAAAGUGGGUUGUCAAACGUUUAUCAGUACCCAACCGGGAAACCCUCACUUGCUGAAGGUCUAAUCCUGACUGCCCACAAGACUUGGUUGUAACUCCUCCCUAGGUAGGGAAGUGUGUGAAAACAUGAACUCUGUUGCUCGCGGGAGCGGAUUGUUGUGUGUGAAGUUUAUGGAGUGGACGUUUAUUUGCACGUGUGUGUGACUGUAUGUUUUCUUUCUAAAAACUGCUUAAGCUGAUGACAGAGAAGACACCAGCUAGACGUGCCAGAGGUUGGGGGUUCGGCAAGUGCGUGGCUCUCCGUGCUCCGGUCCCUGCCACGACACACCCCGAGGCUCUAGGUGGCCAGGGCUGCUCAUAGGAUGGGGGGCCUCCACCAGCCAGGGGUUCCCGAGCCCCGGCUGACCUGUGGCGGGCAGGGAGCGCAAGCAAGAACACAUCUGGGUGGUGUUAAGCCGCUGAGAUGCGGGAGCGGGAGUUGUUUGUUCUGCAUCAUAAUCUAGCUUUUCCUGACCGAUAAGCCUCCAAGUGGCCACGUCUGGUGGUGGCCGCAUAUAUAAGGAAAGCAUACUGGGCUGCAUAUAGAUAGCAUUUAAGUCUGUGGGAUUAGAUGAGGUCACCGAGGGAAUGAGUAUACAUAUAUCUAGACACGUUAAUGAACAGCCAGCACUCAGCACAUAUCUAUACACACAUAUAUAAUAUAAAUAUAUGUGUAUUUUAUAUAUUACAUAUAAGAUAUACGUUAUAUAUGAAAUAUAUGCAAUAUGUAUUAUAUAUAUUAUAUAACAUAUAUUAUGUAAAAUUCUAUUAUAUAUAAAUACAUACAUAUUUUACAUGUAAUUUAUAUAUGUUUUAUAUAUUAUAUAUAAUAAAUCCAGAGACUGAGAGCUGGCUGUUCAUUACUGUGUCGACGCUGGGGAGGUGAGGAAGCUGCCAGGCCGGGGCAACCAAGAGGCCGUGGGGGCAUUUGUGCCCGGCAGGUACACGUUUCUCAGACAGCAGUGAGAGCGGCACCAGCCAGAUGGGGGUGGGGGCGCUGCUGAGCGGUGCGGGGGUGGGGGGCGGGGCUCACAGCUGACCGGCAGGGGCCCGGCUGGAGACAGGCCAUCCACACAACCCCCCAGAGUGCCUGCCGCAGAGGGAACGAGAGGAUGGGCCACACCCGCAGGGCAGCAGGCUUCAGGGAGGCUCUCUUCCUUCGAGACAGAGGGAACGGGGACACGCUUGUGCGACAGAGACAGGGUGGCAGCCGAGAGGCGCGCGUUGCCAGAGCUGUGGACCGGCGCGACAGGAAAUGGGGUGUCAGGAGGAACGGGGUGCCAUCUUAUUUACUCAGCAGCUACUGAGCUCGGCCCAGGCACUGAGCGGUGGCCGAGACUAUUAAAAUACUGUCUUUCCUACUAGACUGCCUGCCGUUUAAUGUGACUGAGGCUCAGCUAACGAUGACACUCUGAAGGCGGAGUAAAUCUUUCUGCCCAAGAGGAGAGGACAGAGCAUCAGGAGUGAGCCCGAACCAGUGGGUGCUUGUUUUCUACUUUCUAAGAAGAGGGUGGGAACGGCAUCCCUACAGGGGCACAGCAUCAGCCAAGACGCCAAGGUGUGAAGUAUUGGGCCUCUUCCUGCCAUAGAGGAGGACCCCCCGCCCCCCAAGAGCUGCCACUCCGCUCUUGCUGGCCAGACCCACUCUGCUCCUUGAUCACACCCAGCCUGUCCUUGCUGUUCCCUCUGCCCGGUGCCCUCCGCUCUGGCUCUGCGAGGCUGAUUCCUUACCGUCACUUAGGUCUUGUCUCGGUGCCCUCUGGGCUCUAUACAGAGCCCCCUGGCAGACACUGUUCCCUCUCCCUGGAAGGAUCUUCCCCCACCCAUCCUCCCUGUGGCCUGUUCAACUGCCACCUCGAGAUGAGUCCCCACCAUACUUAUCCCAUCUGACAUAUCUUCUAUUUUAGUCCUUUCGUUCUGUUUCCGCCCCCUGGAAUGUAAGCUCCAUGAGGACAGGCGUUCUGGCCUCUUUCCGUCGCUGCUGUAUCCCAGGGCCAAGUGCCCUGCACAUAGUAGGUGCUUAAUAAAUGUUUGCUGCAUCGAGGAGUGAAGGAAGGAGAAGUCACCUAUGAAGAGAUGUGCUUCAAGGUCAGAGAGACCCCUCCUCCUCCCUCCUUCCCCCGUCCCUCCCGCCCCUGUGUAUUUCUUCGUUAGCCCUCUUUGAAGUUUUUGUUGGUUUAUUCCUCUCGGCCCAUGGCAUAGAGGAUCCAUGGGCUGAUUUUGCUGUUGGUCUUGUUUGCGGUGGUUUCCUCCAAUACCUGGGAAAUACCUCCAACACUCUGGAAAAUCCAGAGUAAGAACCUAGUAGAUGGGCAGCGACUGUGAACGAGUGCAUGCCUGCCUGUGGCUGCCUAGCGGAUAAGAAGGCGGCAGGGGAACACACCGGGCAUUAGUGUUGGUGUGUGAUGGGUGGGGGCCCUUCUUGUUUUGGGAGAUUAUGAGAAGUGUCAAGAAGUUUUAAGUGGUGUCUGAGAAAAUGCAUAUAAAUAUUUAACACACAGAAAAACUCAAUCGGUAUGCUCAUUAUCAAUAUGACCAAUUCCAUGUAUUUAUUUUCCUUAUACAGGUGGGGGUUUCACAAGGAAAAUCUGUUAUUCUGGCUCUAGCAAAAGAGGGCCUCCACAGGGAUUCUUGGAUAUGUAUUAUUCAAAUCAUGAGAUUUGUUGGGGCUCCUGGCUAGUCAGUAACUUACCGACACCUUCGGUGAGGUCUCUAGGUUGCCCAGCCCUCCACGGGCUGCUGCCUGGGUGAGGAAGGCUAUGCCUGCCCUUCUUGCUUGUGAAAGCUCAGCAGAGCUCGUAGUGGUCCCCUCUGUCCCUGGGAUUCAGAGAAGUGGGCCAGCCUUCUGCCAUCUAGGAGGAACUGCACCUCCUCCAAGUCCCAGUUGGGGACUGGUGAAGGGCCCGAGAUCCUGAGAUUUUGGUCCUGCUGGUUCUGGAGUCAGACGUAGCCUCUGAGACACACAUUCACCCCUCCGGGCAGUUAGGGCCCAGCGAUCGGGGGACCCCCAGGUGGAGGUGUGCAGGUUCCCAAGGCCAACCGUAAACUGAAUUCUCUGAUACGGCAAGCGUGAAAACUUCCCAUGUGACCCCAUUUAAAGGUGCAAAUGAUGUCUUUGUAGCUGUGGGGAGAAGGUUUCUGUGGGGAAAGAUGUUAUUUGGGAGGCAUAGGUGGGGGCGAGGGACUGAUGGCCUGCAAGAGAGAACAGGAGGUGGCCCUCCCACCACGCCCCACGGCGGGGGAGAAAUAGAAGUACAGUCAGGAGACAGGAUGGUCAGGUCCAGAAGGCACCUGAUCUGGGGGUGGUGCCCGUGGCUUGGCGAGUCAGAGGAGAGGCGGGGAGGCCAGGUGGUGGUGUUAUGCUGGGGAUUGGGCUGGAUGCUGUGAAGGCACAAAUGUGUCACAGAUAUGGUGGGGGAGGGGAGUCAAAGAACCGGGGGGGGGGGGGAGACUGGGCCCCUCAGAACAUCCCCCCUUGAUGUGGUAACUGUGCCCCUCUGUCAGCUACUGUUUAUUUGUACCCUCCCUCUGCUUACCCCUUCUCUCCCGCCUCAACCUGACUCCCACCCUCAGCCUCACCCAGCUCGUUAGGGCGGGAGGCGGAGAAAGAGGUGCACCCCUUUUGUGGCUCAGAAUCCCUGACGGAUGGGGUGGAGCUGUCUGGACCCUGGGCCAACAGAAACCAUUAAGCCCUAGGAGACCACGAUGGACAAGAGACCUCGACAAAUGUUCCAGGCUGGAAAGGGGGGCCAGAAAAAGGACCUGUUGGUCACAUUAGGUUCAUUUCACUGAAGGGAAUUUUUCAGAAUCCAACUCUGAUGUUUGUAAAGGAGGCUCUGCCCAGGACUGCCCUGAAAGUCAGAAGUCAGAGGCGGAACUUGGUCGCUAAAUUGGGGGUGUCACCUCUGGACGGGACAUUGGUGUGUUUAAGCCUGGGCAAUCAGACCCCUGAGCUAUUCGGUCACAGGAGGAGUGAGAACUCAAGGACAGAGGAGAGAAGAGGAACUAAGAUUUAUUGAGGGGCUGGAUGGAUUUAUUUGAAAUAGCAGAUAACGCGUGACGUGCUUUUACACCGUCCCCUCUAAACCCACAGUCCCUUUCUGGUAGCUGUUUAUCUCUCAGAGACACCGAAUAACUGGCUCAGAGCAGGGAUUUGAAGUGGCCACUGCCAAGCCUGCGUUCCUUCCUCCACGAGGGCUUCAAACUCACGGCUGCGGGGGCCAAGCAAGCAAAACAGUGGCUGGAGCAGCUCGGGGACGGGUUGAGGGUCUGCAUGAGCAAAGCCAACUCGGGGGGACCCUCGCCGUAGUCAGAGGGAGCCCCAGGAGCAGAGAGGGCAGCACCGCCACGUACGGAUGCCCAAUCUUCUCAUACCCUAGAGCUCCUCAAAAGCAGCCAGAAAUCUGAAAUUGGAAUGCAGUUCCCCACAUUUGAAACAUCACCACUUAAAACGCUCUGCUGGCCAAGCCAGACCCUUUUGUGGGUCAGGCCCUAGCCGUGAGCUGCACUUUCCCAGGUGGCCGGUGGGGGUAGGUCCAGCUGUGCGCAGCAGGAACCCGCCAAGGGGGGGCCUAAGCCAGCGAAGCUCGCUUUGUCACUCAGCGCGAGGUGUCAGGUGGCCGUGCAGGGCUGAGGUGUCAGGAGAUGGCGCAGGGCUGAUGUGGCGGUUCGCAGGGCUGGGUCAGAGGCCCAGGCUUGGCUCAUCUCCACUCUCCUGGGUCCGUGGCGCUCACCCUUAUGCUCACAGGACGGAGGCAGCGCCGCCAGGCAUCGCUUCCGGGAAAGGCAUCGCUUCCGGGAAAGGCAUCGCUUCCGGGAAAGGCAUCGCUUCCGGGAAAGGCACAAGGUGCUGGGUCUGUGCCUUUAGGGGAGCAGAAUCUUCCUGGAAGCUCCACCCAGUACGUUGCAGCUUAUAUCCCACUGGCUAGAAUUGGUCUCCUGACCACCCCCUAGUUGCAAGGGAGUCUGGGAAAGGGAGGAUUUUAAACUGAACGCCGCACUAACCAGGACAUAAUUUGCAUUUUUAUUCGUAACUUACAGAGGGAGAAUGACUAUUGUGUAACAACGUCUUUCUCUUCUCGCUGUGCUGGUUUUCUGGGUGACAUUGACUGAUUGGCCCCUGCUGGUAGCAGCCAAGGAGGAGCUGCAGCCCUUUUGGUAACAAUUUCACACGGUUCUUUCCUCCAAUGGGCUUCUGGCGUCAGGGGUAUAUAACCUGCCUUGCUGUUUUUAUCGCCCAAACCCUCCUGAUUCAUACUCCCAAUAGGGGCACCUCUGGAGCCGGCCGGAUCCUUGGUAAAACUCAUCCACGUGGCAAAUUCUAUCCCCUGCUUUUAUCUUUUAAUAUACUCUGACAUCAGUUUUUGCCCUUCUUUUGUUCUUUUGUACCAUUCAUUGAUAGACACUUUUUUUCCCCUAAGGAUAUUUUCCUAAUAUAUAUUUAGUCAUAAUUUACCUACAUCCCUUAGAAAAAUUACAUCAGUUGCCAAACGAGAGAUAGUAUCAGGUGUGUAUCAAGUCAGGAUAGGCUGGGCGAUGCUGCACAACCCCGAUCUCAGUAUCUUAAAGCAACAGAGAUUAAUUUCCUGCUUGUUCACAUGUCCACUGUGGGUCAUCAUGGAUGUGGAAGGGUCUGCUCAUAGUCAUUCAGAGAGCAAAGGCUGAUGGAAGCAUUGCUAUCUUGAGCAUUGCUGGUCAUCACGCCACAGGGAAAAGAGGCUUCUGGAGGACCUCACCUUGGCAAUUAAAUGCCACUUCAUUACAGCUUAUUGGCUAGAGUUGGUCAUGUCCUCAAGCAACUACGGGGGCCCAGGCAUGCAAUCCCAUCAUAUUCAUGGAGGGAGGUGAACCAGAAAUGUCUGGGAAACAGCAGAGAAAAUACUCAGUGUGUGUAGGCAAGGCCAGAUGAGGGGUAUGACUGAUUCAAGUUUACUUGUGUUGCUCCUGGUGCAAACUUCCACCAGGGAGGCAAACCCGUAGUGACAACUGCUCUUGAAGGAAGCCAUUGUCCCUCUGAAAGGUGCUUGGCUUCUGAGUCGGCGUGAGCAAAGGGGAACCUAGCCCCUGGCUUUAGCUCUACAGGUAGAAUUUCCCGCAAUGAAAGUAAGGAAUGUUCUAGACUCUUACUUCAGCCGAUCUUGGAUCUCCUGUCACCUCAUGUAAUCCCUAGAGCAUCUCAUUCAGGAGUCACCUCGAAACUCUUCCACAGAAGUUCUCUGGCUGGGUGUGGGGGGUGCGGCGGGGAGGAAGUGAAGCCCGUGCUGGGAGAGAGUUGGAGGGCCGGGGAAGGGUUAAGUGAGAGCGUUCCUGAGAUUCACGGACCUCAGCAUUUCCAGGAGACUCUGGAUAGGUGGGGUUUCAGGACAGUCACAAGACACUUUCCUUUCUUUCUAUGUGCGAUUAUAUUCACAAUGAUGGCAUCUUGUUUUCCCUACUCUAGGAUGAUUUCCCAAAUAUGGCGAGACAGGGAAAGCGCUCUGCUCCCCGCUCCGACCUCCACCCCCAGCUUGAGGCAUUUUGCUUCCCUGCCACUUGAGUGGAAGGAUGUGUGAACUACAAGUGCCAUGGUGAGUGUCUUUCCCUUCUCUCGGCCAGUGGGAGGAGCUACAGAAGAUGUUACUUCGCACACAUCAAAGCUGCACACUCAUUUGGUUGUGGAAAAGAGAACAAUGGAACACACCGAGCUAUAGGACAAUCAAUUAACUUCUACUCUUUGCAGAGAGGUUUGAAAGAAAGAACAAAAAAAUUAGCAGGCUUGGGAAAGCCUUCCUCGCUCCCCAAACUGGGAUCCCUGUCUCCACCGUAAUUAUGCUGGGCAUGUUGACGGAGGAGGAAGCAUGGUGGGAGGGGGAGAGGGCGUUAAAGCUCCACGUGGCCCACAGGCAGAGGCUGUCCGCGCCCGGCACUGGUGAGAGUUCUAGUUCAGGUCUUCCGUCUUUCUGUUUGGAAGUUUACUGUUACGUUGUUGUCAUUGUUUCUGGCGGGGUGGCACUCUCUCUCUCUUUCUUUGUUUUCAGUUUCUUUAUUUAUUUUUGAGAGAGGGGGGGAGAGAGUAAGCAGGGCGGAGAGAGAGGCGGACAGAAAAUCCCAAGCAGGCUCUGUGCUGUCAGUGCAGAGCCCAGCAUGGGGCUCGAACUCAGGAGCUGUGAGAUCAUGACCUGAGCCAAAAUCAAAAGUCGGAUGCUUAAGUGACGGAGCCACCCAGGAGCCCCUCAGGGUGGUGCUCUUUGUGAGGCCGUUCACACGGUAGAUCGUUGGACCUGGAUUUGAACUGAGGCUUUGGCACUUACAGCCAAGUGAUGUCCAAGGCCUGGUUCUCCAGAAGGAGACCUCCAGAUGAGACUUUACGUGCAAGUGUUUCGUUGGGAAAUGCUCCCAGGAAGAGCCAGGAGGGAAGGGAAGUGGGAGCAGGCAGGGGUGACAUGCGAGGCAGCAAACGACAGCCCACGGAGGAGGGCUCCCGCUUGGCUGGUUCUGGGAGCUCUGGGAUCAGCGUAGGUCAUCCCUCAGGGUUCUCUAUCGGAGGCAACGCAGCAGAACAUUUAUACUCCUGCACCCGGCAGCCCCAGCUUCAGCGUCCCCCCAGAAGACCUCAAUUCCCAGGCACCAAAGGCAUUCCUGCAGGGGGACAAAGUGGACUCUGGCAGUCUGAGGGCAAGGGUCCCCCACAGUGACACGGGGACUGGCCAUUGCCGUGGAGGCACGUGGGAGUUGUUGUUUGCCUAGCGGGCAGGCACGGACCUCAAGGAAUCCACUUAGGUCCACGAGACCCACCUGGAAAGGAAAUGGGGCUACCGCUGUGUGUUCUUCACUGGGUUGGCAUAAGAUGACAUGAGAUGGCACAUACCUGAAGAGCACAUAGGCCGUUGCU